rnacentral:rRNA from 1 species
UACGGAGGGUGCAAGCGUUGUUCGGAAUCAUUGGGCGUAAAGAGCGUGUAGGCGGCUGGACAAGUCUGAUGUGAAAGCCCGGGGCUCAACCCCGGAAGUGCAUUGGAAACUGUCCGACUUGAGUACUGGAGAGGAUGGGGGAAUUCCCGGUGUAGAGGUGAAAGUCGUAGAGAUCGGGAGGAAUACCAGUGGCGAAGGCGCCCAUCUGGACGGAUACUGACGCUGAGACGCGAAAGCGUGGGGAGCAAACAGG